GAAGCUGUGUGCAUCCGGGUUGAGGUAGUAGGUUGUAUGGUUUAGAGUUACACCCUGGGAGUUAACUGUACAACCUUCUAGCUUUCCUUGGAGCACACUUGAGCCAUC
ensembl:miRNA microRNA let-7c